rnacentral:lncRNA from 1 species
GGCUCUGGGCUCUUCCCCUCGCUCCCACCGCGUCUGCUUCUCCGCCUCCUCGUUCCCCCUCGUUUUUCCAGUGACCCCCCUGUUGGACCGCCCGCCUCGUAGGCAGCCUGCAGCCCUUCAGCUCCCUCCAAAUGUCUGGUUUAAAACAUCAGUAUGAAAGUCAAUUAGAAAAGGAGCCAACAAUGAUAGAGGUGGAUUCUGUUGUGGCACAGAGAAUGAGUUCAGCCAGCUUCAUGAGAAAGACUUGAUAGUUUGGUUGAAGCUGAAAUGUGACCUUAGUGUGACAGGAGAUCUCAGUUCAAAAUGCUCACUGAACUUUUCUCUGUCCUGCCUUCAACCCUCAGCCUACAUCACAGGCUUGAGCAGGACACAAGUGGAAUUCCAGUUUGAACAGCCCUCAGUUUUCUAAGCCCAAAUAAGGUAACUUAAAAUCCAAAUCUCUUAAAUUCCGGUUCAGUCAUGUAUGAGUCAAAUUUUCCAAGCUACUCAGGUGGUAUUACUUCAUUAGGUCUUGAGUCACCUGUGUCUAGGCUGUGGAUUUACAAUAAGAGCUUUAGUCCUUGUUCUGCACCCCAAUAGUGUAAGUCUGCUGUUAAUGAGGAGGGAGAUUUUCGUAUCAACUAACUAAAGGCACCUAAAGGUAUAAUUUUGAAAGCUGUUUAAACUGACGCUAGCUAUUUCAUAUCUAGAAAUGAUGUGAUCCGAAUCCUUUAAGAACUUAUUCUACCUUUUGAAAUUUUACUCAAAGGUAUUAGGGCUAGAUAUUAUCAUAGUUUAAACAAAAUAAAGCUGUUUUCUCCUUCUUUUGUCCUCA